UACUACGGGGGCCGGAAGGAGCGGAAAACAAACGGCAGCGCGCGGGAGGGCGGCAUGGCUGCUGGCGGAGCGGAUGAUCCGUCCCUAGAGAGGCAUUUCAAAGGCCACAGAGAUGCCAUCACUAGUGUGGACUUCAGUCUCAAUAAGAAACAAUUGGCGAGUGGCUCAAUGGAUUCAUGCCUGAUGAUCUGGAGUAUGAAACCUCAGAUGAGAGCCUAUCGCCUUGUGGGCCACAAAGAUGCAGUGAUGUGUGUUCAGUUUUCCCCUUCUGGCCACCUCGUAGCUUCGGGCUCCAGAGACAAAACUGUCUGCUUAUGGGUUCCCAGUGCCAAAGGAGGAUCUACUGUGUUCAAGGCUCACACAGCGACUGUGAGAAGCGUUCAUUUCUCCAGCGAUGGCCAGUCCUUAGUUACAGCUUCUGAUGACAAAACAAUCAAAGUGUGGACAGUUCACAGGCAGAAGUUUUUGUUCUCACUCAGCCAACACAUAAAUUGGGUUCGUUGUGCCAGAUUCUCUCCUGAUGGACGACUAAUAGCAUCAGCCAGCGAUGAUAAAACUGUCAAACUGUGGGAUAAAACUAGCAGAGAAUGUAUACAUUCCUUUUGUGAGCAUGGGGGGUUUGCAAAUCACGUGGAGUUUCAUGGCAGUGGUACGUGCAUUGCUGCAGCUGGUACAGAUAACACAGUGAAGGUGUGGGAUGUUAGGAUGAACAGACUCCUCCAACAUUAUCAAGUGCACUCUGCUGCGGUGAACAGUCUGUCCUUUCACCCCUCUGGAAAUUACCUGAUUACUGCUUCCAACGAUUCAACUCUCAAAAUUCUGGACUUGCUUGAAGGAAGACUUCUGUAUACUCUUCAUGGUCACCAGGGUCCAGCCACCUGCGUAGCAUUCUCCAGAACUGGAGACUUCUUUGCCUCUGGAGGAUCUGAUGAGCAGGUGAUGGUAUGGAAGACUAAUUUCAAUGCAGCAGAUUACGGCGAAGUUCUGAAAUCUCACAAGUCUGGUGCUAAUGUGGAUGGGACCCAUCACAGUCUGGGUAUCCUGGUGGGAGAAGUAACUGGCACAGCAGGGCAGAAGACAUAAGGUGAUCUGGAGGUGUUUUUCUUGCCGCCUCAGCUGCGAAUCCUGCAGCCAUAUAACUGAAGUGAGUGUUUCACAUGGAUACAGUGCUAGUUCUCCUGAGACCAGCGGGCUUCUUGGUUUGGAGAUUGGAAACUUAAUUCCUUGUGUAGUCCAUGAGGCUUUAUACAAACUCUCAUCUCUGCAUGAUUCUCCUACAUUUUGACUAAGAAUCCCUUCUGAACAAACAAGAGCCUGAAUGAUCAUCAGCUGCAAUUCAUGUUUUUUUGUUUGACAAGCAAUUGGUACAAAAGCUGAAGCUGUGACAGUGGUGGUAAGUCAUAAAUUGUUUCAAAGGAAAAUGGAUGUGAGCGGUGAUUUGGGCUGGUCAGAGCUCUCUCUCCGAAGCCCAUAGGCUGAACUUCCAAACCCAGCUCCACCUUCCUUCUGCAGUGUUGACCUUGGUCUCCAUGCUGACUGCAGCACUUCAGUCUUUGUGUAAAUAAAUUCCUCCUGAAUUACUCAGAGGCCAGAUGUGCUUUUUCUUUUUUUAACCUUGUGGAUUCCAAACUACCUCCAGUUUUGGCAUCCAUUAAUACUUACAAGUGUGUACUUUUUUUAAUCGCUGUGAAAUUCUCUCCUAGAAAGACACAGCUGGAGCUCUCUUCAGCUGAAUGUAGACAUGUAUUUCUGUUUGCAUCUCCUUCACCUCGGUCUACUUAUUGCCUUAGAAUUUCUCUCUCAAUUCUUAGUAAUGUCUUCAACAGGGUUAUCCUUCAGGUUAAAUGUGGCCUGCAAGUUGUUGUGGGUUUUUCUGUUGUUGCUGUUUUGUUUUCCAAUUUGCUUCUCACCUUAUUUCUCUGAGGAUUUUUUCCCACUCUGGGAAGCUUCAUCCUGGCAUGUGGUUACCUUCCUCCUGGAAUAGGUAGGUAGAUUUUUUUACUUACAUGAGCAACAAUGAUGAAAUGAUAAGCUGCUUCUGCUUUCUGUGCUAUUCUGCUGUCCAAGCAGAACCUGCUAAGAAAGGGCUGUCUUACUACAGCUGAUUGUGGGACGUUAAAGGCAUCUCCAAGGGGGUUGAAACUAGAUGAUCUUACAGGUCCUUUUCAAUCCAGGCCAUCCUAUGAUUCUGUGGUCAUCCCUACAUCAUUUGCAAGGGGUGCAGUUGCUGAUGAUUACUCAUAGCUGUCUGGUUUUCCACUCUCCUUUUUGCUGAAGGGAUUCCACUCUCAUAAGGCUGUUGUAACCUGUGACCUCACAUUUUUGCAAGGAGACAGAGGUUCAGCAGGAACAGAGGAAAAGGCUGCUUAUUUUUUCAAGCUGUUCUUUCUGAUGUGGACAAAAGGAUUCUCUGCUGUGGUCUGUGCCUGAAGAGGCUGUAUUUGCCCCAGUUCUUCUGGCAGUGGCAAAUGUAAAGUGAGGAAUACAGAAUGUGGGAAACAGGACCCUGAUCUCAGGUGGCACAUAGAACAAGGUGAUGGAAUGAUGUAGCUGUGCUCACAGACCUCCUGGAAUGUGUGGACAACGCACAGCUUAGGUGCUUUUGACAGGACUGCCCUUGUUACUAUUUUGUGAAUGGGAUUUAAAGGAUGGAGGUAAAGCUGAACUCCCCUAUUCCCACUGCUCCAUUGUUCUUUUCUGGUGGACAGGAGCAAAGAGAAGAGGGAAAAAAAAAAAAAACAAACACACAGAUGUUUCCACAGGGUUUAUUGAUGAGAAUCCUAUUUUCUGAUGUAGAUGUGCAAUUAAACAGGUAGGUGCUUACCUUGUCAGUGUGUUUUCUAAAUAUCACUACGUAGAAAAGCAGCAUUUUUUUGCAUCAUCCACUGCAAUUUCAUUAUUGAUGCAAUCUAUUCUGUAGGUAACCCUUGCCUCAACUUCCUCAUCAGCAUUACAGUAAUUGGUUACAACGUUAUAGAUUUCAUGAAAGGUUAAGUAAGGGAGCUCUGGAAUGAAGGCUGAUGAAUUUUCUCUUUCUAGCAAGUAGCUGCACUGUGCUAAGAAGUUGCCAUGGGUAAAUCACUUCAGUUUCUGCCUUAUCACUAAGAGCUGUAUCAUAUGCUGAAACUAUUUAUCCAUUGUUCUUGUAAUGUUAAACUGCUUCUUGCUGUACCCACAGAGCUUAGUAAGUGGAUGUUGUGAUAAGGUAUUUAAUGGAAAAUACAUGUGUUCAUUUACUGUGUACUUGAACUCAAACUAAGACAGAUGAAACCUCAACAGCAGUCGCUGCUUGUGGUGCCUGCCUGUGGAAUGCAGCUGGCACUGCGCCGUCCGGCUGAGUCAGAUGGGACCUCAGGUUUCUGUGCAGCCACAGUGUUUCACAGCACAGACUGUCAUAUAAGUUAGUUCCCAUUCUGUAUUUCUUUGCUCUUUCUGUAUUUCUUUGCAACUUUCUAGAUAUCUGUUUGAAUUGAAAUCAGUAGUGUCUGGUUCACCACAGCGUCUAGAUUUCUAUUAAGAUUAGGAUAGUUGUAGUCUGGUCUUUGAGGGGGUUUCUUUCACCAUUUUUAUGAACAACAGUGGGGCUGAUGUAAUGUUCUUUUACCAAAUGGGAAAUAUAUACAUAUAUGCAUUGUAUGGGAACUUUUGAGUCCUGGCCUGAACUACUGGUUGAGCACCUGAGGAAAGGACCGUCAGCCCUGGGAGCACAGGUGAAGGCAAUUGAGCUGUGAGACAGGAAGGAGUGGAGCCUGGCUGCACCUCUCUUA